UGAAAGCAUCUAAGCACGAAACUUGCCCCGAGAUGAGUUCUCCCUGACCCUUUAAGGGUCCUGAAGGAACGUUGAAGACGACGACGUUGAUAGGCCGGGUGUGUAAGCGCAGCGAUGCGUUGAGCUAACCGGUACUAAUGAACCGUGAGGCUUAACCUUACAACGCCGAAGCUGUU
rnacentral:rRNA from 1 species